GAUGAACGCUGGCGGCGUGCCUAAUACAUGCAAGUCGAGCGAACGGACGAGAAGCUUGCUUCUCUGAUGUUAGCGGCGGACGGGUGAGUAACACGUGGAUAACCUACCUAUAAGACUGGGAUAACUUCGGGAAACCGGUGCUAAUACCGGAUGAUAUUUUGAACCGCAUGGUUCAAAAGUGAAAGACGGUCUUGCUGUCACUUAUAGAUGGAUCCGCGCUGCAUUAGCUAGUUGGUAAGGUAACGGCUUACCAAGGCAACGAUGCAUAGCCGACCUGAGAGGGUGAUCGGCCACACUGGAACUGAGACACGGUCCAGACUCCUACGGGAGGCAGCAGUAGGGAAUCUUCCGCAAUGGGCGAAAGCCUGACGGAGCAACGCCGCGUGAGUGAUGAAGGUCUUCGGAUCGUAAAACUCUGUUAUUAGGGAAGAACAUAUGUGUAAGUAACUGUGCACAUCUUGACGGUACCUAAUCAGAAAGCCACGGCUAACUACGUGCCAGCAGCCGCGGUAAUACGUAGGUGGCAAGCGUUAUCCGGAAUUAUUGGGCGUAAAGCGCGCGUAGGCGGUUUUUUAAGUCUGAUGCGAAAGCCCACGGCUCAACCGUGGAGGGUCAUUGGAAACUGGAAAACUUGAGUGCAGAAGAGGAAAGUGGAAUUCCAUGUGUAGCGGUGAAAUGCGCAGAGAUAUGGAGGAACACCAGUGGCGAAGGCGACUUUCUGGUCUGUAACUGACGCUGAUGUGCGAAAGCGUGGGGAUCAAACAGGAUUAGAUACCCUGGUAGUCCACGCCGUAAACGAUGAGUGCUAAGUGUUAGGGGGUUUCCGCCCCUUAGUGCUGCAGCUAACGCAUUAAGCACUCCGCCUGGGGAGUACGACCGCAAGGUUGAAACUCAAAGGAAUUGACGGGGACCCGCACAAGCGGUGGAGCAUGUGGUUUAAUUCGAAGCAACGCGAAGAACCUUACCAAAUCUUGACAUCCUUUGACAACUCUAGAGAUAGAGCCUUCCCCUUCGGGGGGGACAAAGUGACAGGUGGUGCAUGGUUGUCGUCAGCUCGUGUCGUGAGAUGUUGGGUUAAGUCCCGCAACGAGCGCAACCCUUAAGCUUAGUUGCCAUCAUUAAGUUGGGCACUCUAAGUUGACUGCCGGUGACAAACCGGAGGAAGGUGGGGAUGACGUCAAAUCAUCAUGCCCCUUAUGAUUUGGGCUACACACGUGCUACAAUGGACAAUACAAAGGGCAGCGAAACCGCGAGGUCAAGCAAAUCCCAUAAAGUUGUUCUCAGUUCGGAUUGUAGUCUGCAACUCGACUACAUGAAGCUGGAAUCGCUAGUAAUCGUAGAUCAGCAUGCUACGGUGAAUACGUUCCCGGGUCU
rnacentral:rRNA from 1 species